CUGGCGGCGCGCUUAACACAUGCAAGUCGAACGAGAAAGUGGAGCAAUCCAUGAGUACAGUGGCGUACGGGUGAGUAACACGUGGGGAUCUACCUUCGGGUGGGGGAUAACUCUGGGAAACCGGAGCUAAUACCGCAUAAGCAGGGAACUGGAAAGCCGAAAGGCGCCGGAAGAGGAGCCCGCGGCCGAUUAGCUAGUUGGUUGAGGUAACGGCUCACCAAGGCAAAGAUCGGUAGCCGGCCUGAGAGGGCACACGGCCACACUGGCACUGAAACACGGGCCAGACUCCUACGGGAGGCAGCAGUGGGGAAUCUUGCACAAUGGGGGCAACCCUGAUGCAGCGACGCCGCGUGAGCGAUGAAGCCCUUCGGGGUGUAAAGCUCUUUCGGCCGGAACGAUAAUGACGGUACCGGAGGAAGAAGCUGCGGCUAACUACGUGCCAGCAGCCGCGGUAAUACGUAGGCAGCAAGCGUUGUUCGGAGUUACUGGGCGUAAAGAGUGCGUAGGCGGUGUUCUAAGUUCGUUGUGAAAUCUCCCGGCUUAACUGGGAGGGUGCGGCGAGAACUGGGAUGCUGGAGUGUGGGAAAGGCAAGCGGAAUUCCUGGUGUAGCGGUGAAAUGCGUAGAUAUCAGGAGGAACACCGGCGGUGUAGACGGCUUGCUAGACCAUAACUGACGCUGAGGCACGAAAGCGUGGG
rnacentral:rRNA from 1 species